CAGGCAUUUCUGCUUACUAAGAUUAGGUAUAGAAGAGUGUCAGAAUAAUUGUGAUUUUUGUACUGAAUUGCUAUCUUAGAAAAAUCUUGGCAGGAAAUAAAGAGAUGUAUAGUGUGUUUAAGCUGAAUGUGAAAGAUGCAGUAGUGAGAGGGGAAUUCAGUCUUUGUUUACUAAUGACUACUGCCUACUCUCAACAUAGCAAAAGUCAACCGUCCUAGCAAUCACUGCGGAGAUUUAUGGCUUCUCAGAGUAACUACAGGGGGCAACAGCAAUGUGAAAGACAAGUCACAUUCUGGAUGGCCGUACACAGCUGUCGCACUAGAAAAUGAAGAGUGUUUUGAUCAGCUCAUGCACAAAUUGGCAGACUGCAACAAGGGAACUGUGGACAAAACUGAAUAUUGUCUUCAAUGAAUUGGAAAUGAUGGUGGCAGUGUUGGAAUACAGCAAAGUUUGCACCAAGUGGAUCCUGUGAAUGCUCAUAUGGGAACAGAAAGCACACCAUAUGCAAGUUUGUUAAGACUUAUUGAACCAAUACAAGGCUGAAGGUGACAGUUUCCUGGGUCACAUUGUUACAGGUGACAAGAUGUGGUGUCACCACAAUGAGCUGGAGUAAAAAUGGCAAUCCAUGGAGUGGCAAUACAUGAAUUCCCCAUUGAAAAAUAGUUCAAGGUGUAGCCCUCAACUGGUAAAGUGAUGUAUACUGUCUUUUGGGAUAGAAAAGGGGUAAUCCUUCUGGGUUUCCUGUAACCUGGACAAACUAUCAGCUCAGACCUCUACAUCCCGAUGCUGACUAACUUCUAAAGUUAGGCUGGAGAAGAAGACAUCCUUUCUCUUGUAAUAUGAAACACCAGGCCCUUCAUCAGUUUGAAAACCACGGAGCACAUUGCCAGUCUUGGCUGGACUAUCCUUCCACACCCACUGUAUAAUCUGGAUUUGGUGCCUUCUGACUUCCAUUUGUUCAGGCCGAUGAAAGAUGGAUUGCAUUGGCAACAUUUUCUUAGCAAUUAUGCCAUCAGAGCAUCUGUGAAAUGUGAUAUUGCCACGGAAGCAGCACUGAAUUAUAGAGUGUCACGGGUCAACUGAACAUUAGAGAAGAGUUAGCAGGUGUACUGGAGGACAUGAAACACUUUUCCAGUAGAAUAAUGAAAACGAAGCUUGUCCGUCAGGACAGCUGCUCAGAACUGAACUCCACUUUGUGAGAAUCAGCCUGGAAGGUGUGCCAAGAACUACCCAAAUAUUAAUUUUACAUGACUCGUUCAACAACAGAGUCUAGAGUCACCAGUGAAGGAUCAAGUUCAUAUUAUGUUUGUAUUAACACACAAUAAAAGCAUAGGGUGGGAUAGAAGCGGCCUCUUUCAGCACCUCAUACAAGAGCUGAACAAGACCAUGGCACAAAGAUAUCAAUUCAGAAACCCAGCUCCCUAUUGUUUGGGAAGAACCUAGCAUUAUUUGGCUUCUGAGCUCAGCAUCACAAAAUAUCCUGAGUGCCUGAAAUUCUCCCAUUGUCACGGGAGCUGUAUGGCCCCAGGGACAAUCGCUGGCCUUCAAACCAAGCUUGUUGAACUUGGAGACAUCUGCCCUCCACUUGAGUGCCCUGAAGAGGCUGACCUCUGCGUGUCUGGACCUUGCCUAAUACACCCCAAGAGCAUCGAGGCUCUCACAAAGGAUGCUACCCAUGAAGAAGUAGGAGGCUGCCUACCUCAGCGAGCGCAUAGAGAUGGGCAAAAAAAGUGAGCACAGAAGGAUGAAUACAGAAACAGAAUUGAAUUACUUCUGUGAAGUUCAGGUUUCAAGUUCUCAAGAAUGAGUACGUGCUGAAAAAAAAAAAGCCUCCUGGGGCUGUGACUGUACUAUUGCCAUGAAAGCUCCGGAACAAACAGUUUUGCAUAAUGAGUGCAUUAGGCCUGUGUGGCUAGUGACCUUUCAGAACCUCACAAGCAACCGAGGAUUAGCCCUGAGAGAGGCUAUUUUGAGUCACAGAGGGUCUUCAACUGCAAGCCUGCGUUUAAGCACAGCACACCAGCAGCAGUCCAAGGAGCAGGUUUAUGGAAGAACGUUCUUCCUUUUAGUGCACUUCUGGCUGAAAGAUCCAUGCUUAGGAUACCUGGUGACCAACAGAAAUGCGAACAGCUGUUAAAAGUCUCUGAUCAAGAAGGCCUGAUAACUCCAACACUGAGAAAAUCCCCAGACUCCAUAUUGCCGAUUACUUCUCCAACCAGUAGCUGGUUUGCAAGACCACAAAAUCUGGUACCGUUCAACAGAAUGCUGAUGGCUAAAUAGAAAUGGUCCACAAAUAGGGCUCAGUAGUGCUACAGAAAUAUGAACAACAACAGGAGAGGCAGCACACAACAUGACUAAUGAUGAAGUAAUUAAAGCUUAGAGAAGUGUUUAUUGCUGGAUGUUGUGCAAUUCUCUAAAGAUGUUAUAAAUAUCAACAAAGUCUCUCUCUCUCUCUCUCUUUUUUUUUUUUUUUACUUUGUUUAGUUCCUUUGCUGGCUUAUUUUUGGGCACAGCUUCUGUCUACAAGAUAUUUCUGGGUAGACCAGGGAUUGUACGGUAUGUGGACCAAAACAAAUUGUGUGAAUGCUGGUAAAUGAAAAUUACAGAGUUUUGUUCGGCUCUCUUGACUAUCUGUUGUGAAAGGAAGCUCACUGUCUCUGGAUGCAGUAUUAGGAAUAGAACAUUAUGCAAUAAUCAUAGUAAUAGUAAAAUUAUAGUAGCAAUAAUACCACUUUUGCUCUUUCCCCAUUGAUUUGCAAGAAUAGUUGGCUCCAGCCCUCUGUGUAAUAUUACGCUGGGAUGCAGUUCCUGGCUAUAGGAGGCACUACUGCUGGGCAAUGUGGUGACUUUUCUUAAGAUCUAAAAGUUUAUACUCUGUGGGCAGCAGUUUUAUUUAAAAUUUGGCAUCCCGUGCUUGUACAGCAUCUUGGCUUCUAUGUCGUCUAAUCCUUAUUUUGGCACUGUUUCCAUGAAGCUCAGACUCAGAGAUCUGGCACCAGACCCCACUGUGUUUCUCCUCUCACUUUUCUCCUACUGCUCCCCACCAGCUAGACUGGAACAAGAAAUAAUGACAUCCUACAUUCCAAAUGACUGACAGGCCUUGGGCUAUGUGGAGGUUACUUCUCACUGAAGGAAAUAUUUGACUUGCAAGCAGGUACUGAAAUCCUGUUUAGAAAAAUCAUGACUUUAUGUCAGUGAAAAUAAGAUUAUUAUUAUUUUUUUUUACUUCUUAUUUGAGAGUAAAGGAUAAAAAUGCAGCUAGCAGCACUUUCUUUAGUGAGGUAUAGGAACCUCUUCUACCUGGUAAGUGGCACAAAAUAUCUGGAUGUUGCUGUCCGUUUAAAAAGCAGCUAACAACAUGUGGGUUCCCAUGUUCAAGCAAGCAGAUUUACUUGAGGAUGAGAAGAAGGAAAGGUGGUAGCCUAAAUCAGCCUUGGGCUCUGCCUUCCCCCUAUCUUUUUGCAUUCAGGGGGUUUCUAAUGCCCAUCAGUCCAAGCAGAGCAGUGCUUCUUGUCAGCUGCCUGGCCAUUGCACACACGUGGCGUGGCUGCAGCAUUCCAAGACAGACCUGCUGAUGACCACACACCUACCAUGUGCCACAUGAAUUUACAUUUCUACCUAGGAUUUUCUGAACUGAUUUUGAUGUCUUCUUUGCAUGCUUUUGCCUCUCACGACCUGGCCAUGAGAACACAGUGGUGCAGCCUGCAGCUUCAUACUGCAUCUAAAGUUCUUGACGUGUUGGUACAUAUCUCCUGUUGUCUUGGAAAGAGGACAGCUUUGCACAGACUGCCAAAUUGUUUUUUGUCCCUCCUUAGACUUGCUUUAAGGAGUCUCUCACAGUGUUGAUAUGCUAAAAAUACAGUAUAUUUUUAUAUUUUCUCUACAUAGAAGUGAUAUUUUGCUCUAACUGCACACUUAUCAUAAGAACAAACAACGAAGCAUCAGCAAAAUACUGAAAGCAGCAGUUGGAAAUAAGAAAUCAUGAAGAAAAAGAUAAAGUAGGGAACAAAGGAUACAAUAAGUGAUAAAAUGCAGAAAACUGGUAAGGGAAGUCUAAAGUUGGGAAAAUCCCUAUCUGGAGUUGCUGAAGACAAUGAAAAUGAAUUCUUCAACUACAGUAAGAACAAAAGAGAUCCUAAUGAUGGGACAUAAAUAUUAUCAGCUGGAGAUUACUACAAAGAAUUCCCACGAUAUGGGAAAAUAUAUAUCCUGUAGCUAUUUUUGUUCCUUUCUUGAUGUAUUUCUAUUUUAUUAUGCUCAUGGAAGCUCCUUUCAGAUAAUAGGUCACUGGAAGGAAAGCAAAGCAACAUCUUCUAAUGAUAAUCAUUUAUAAACCAUUAGGGCUUAGUAUACCUAGAAGUUCAGAAACCAUCGGAUAAGGAAAUUUUCCGAUUGUUGCUCCUUACUUUGAAUUAAUCACAGCAGCCAAGUCCAACCAGUGGCUCACAGGCCACACACUGCCUGGCACAGCCUGCAGUGCGACUGCCCUCUGCCCUGUAUGCAACUGUCACUCGAAUGACCAAACAUUGGUGUGCUAUUAACCCCAUCUGGGUUGAAACCAGAGCCUGCAGUGUAGUGCAGCUCCAGCUCAAGUUAUGGCAAAAAAUUUUAAGCAUUUUGGUACAUUGUCUAAACACUGGUCUGUGAACAGAAAAAAACCAUGUAGUCAUGCUUUCCAUUGUGGUAUAAGAAUUUGAGAAGAGGUUUCCAGAUUGCAAAAGGAAAUUAUCUUUUUAUUUUUGUAUAUUUGCAACUUCAUUUUCAGUCGACUUAAAAACAUGAGCUGCAAAUUUUGAUAUGGAAUGUAUAGCGUUGUAAUCAGACAUUCAACUCAAAAAUCUGGUCAUGUGUCUCUACUGCAGUCACACCUCGUUCAUGUCAUUGCAUUUUGAAAGCAUGUAUGUUUGUGAACAAAUGUUUUCAAGGAUGAAGCACAGGAAAAAUAAAAUUUCAUAAAAAAUCUCUGACAAAUACCUCGAGAACUCACUGAUAAUUGCAGCCACUGCUGCUGAAUCAGGCUGAUGCAUUAGUUUCACAAAAAUAGGGUCGCAUACCCCACUAGUUUUACACUUUUGUUAUUCUCCUUUUUUAUAUUUUAACAAAAAAUAUUAAAAAUUAAAAUGUUUUGUUACUUAUAUUAAGUAUAUAUUUUAUGAAUGCCUCCUAUUUUGUUAUGUUGGCCCAUGACGUCAGAGGCAGAUGUUGGUGGUAUGGCAAUAGAGGUUGAACCUUCCCACCAAGAUCCCAUUACAUUUUAUUGCCAUGUGAGAGGUGACAGCAGAGGGGCAGUCUGACUCAAUGGUGUCUGACAUGGAAAUGCACCUGAAGAAAAGGUGUGUUACUGAAUUCCUUCAUGUGGAAAAAAUUUCACCCCUUGACAUUCAUCCACAGUUAUGAACAUUAAUGGAGACCAAGGGGAUGUAUGCAUGGUGGGGCAGUGAGUGGCAUGUUUCAACAGUGGUGACAGUGACAGUGGUGACUAUGGUGGUGACUAUGCUGAAAAAUAGCAUUUUGUAGCUGAGGAUUUGCUCUAUCAAACAAUGUUACUGCGCUUAUUGUAUCUGUUGUAGUUUCCAUGGAAAUAAAUAGGAGGCAUUACUUUCGGAGUGACCUACAUACAUGCAGUCCAAGACAAUUCCUCUUCAACCAAUGUGGCUCAGGCAAGCCAGAAGGUUGGACACUCCUGUCCUAUAGCAAAGAGGGGAAAGCAGUCCUUGGGUCUAUGCAGGAUUAGUGAACAUGAACAGAGAAUCCUGGCUGAACACUAAGAAACACCAAGAACAGAAAGAUCAAAGAAGUGGCUUCCAGCAAACACCCUAAGGAGUUCAACCUGUUUAAGUUAUCAAAAAAAAAAAAAAAAGAAAGAAAGAAAGAAAGAAAGAAAGAAAGAAAGAAAGAAGGAAAGAAACCCAACAACAACAACAACCAAAAACCAUAAAGAGAUGAAGAUGGCAAAGAAAUCUCUGUACUUUCGCAGGAUGAAAAUGUUAGGUUCUGGAAGGCUCUUUUACUUCAGUAGAGAAAAGUCAGACAAAACCAAACAUUGAAGCCAGGCCCACGCAAAUGAAAACCCAGGUAUAUAUUUUUGAAGAGUUGAAGUCAUUAAAAUACUGACACAAACUUCUACAGGAGGUGGUAGUAUUCCAUUUUUUUAUUCCAACUCAUUAGGGCAGAAUGGGUGAUUUGUUUUAAUGAAGCACAGGUGAUUAGGCUCAAUAUGGGAAUAACUGGGUGAAAUAUGAUGGCAUAUGGCAUGCAGAAAGUCAGAGCAGGCGAUGUUACAAUCCCUGCAGUCUCUGGCUAUGUAAAAUUGUGAACUCUGUCUGAUGAAAUUCAUCUCUAGCACAGCACUGACCUCCAAAUUCAGGCUUAGCCCAAGAGAGUCUUUAACGUCUUUUGGAUCCAGGCAGAUCAACCUGCAGUUAAUGCAGGCUUCACAAGUGGAUCCUGGAAAUUCAUAGAACUCAGUCAAUCCAGACAAGUUUAUCAUAUCAAUCAACUGGGGGGAGGCUGAAGAAGCUGCCAGGCAGCAGCAGAUGGCCCCUGCUCAGCAGUGGCUGUAUACAGAGACAGCAGUAGGGACAGCUCUAGAAAUCAAGAAAAUCCCUGGAAAGAGUCUCUACUGAUAGGAGUUGGCAUAGGAUGAGGGUCCUGAUAUUUCUGCUUACUUACAGAGGAACAAUUCAAAUCCAG
ensembl:lncRNA